ACCACUUCUGCCGUUGAGUACGGCACUGAUGAGUCCAUUCGAUUGUAAACAGCAGGACGAAAAGUAAA
rnacentral:hammerhead_ribozyme from 29 species